UGCGUAGGCGGAAUAAUAAGUCAGUGGUGAAAUCCUGUGGCUCAACCACAGAACUGCCAUUGAUACUGUUAUUCUUGAAUAUAGUUGAGGUAGGCGGAAUGUGUAAUGUAGCGGUGAAAUGCUUAGAUAUUACACAGAACACCGAUUGCGAAGGCAGCUUGCAAAACUAUUAUUGACGCUGAGGCACGAGAGCGUGGGGAGCGAACAGGAUUAGAUACCCUGGUAGUC
rnacentral:rRNA from 1 species